AUUGAUGCCCUUAUUAGGAGGUGUGAGAGGUUGGCCAUGGAGAGUUUGAGGAGGGGUCGAGGUAGGCUUAAGAAGUACGGGGAGAAGUGAUUAGGCAGGACAUGGAGCUGCUUCAGCUCACUAAGGACAUGACACUUGAUAUGAGGGUAUGGAGGUUGAGGAUUAAGGUAGAAGGUUAGUAGGUAGUUUAUAGUAUUCACGGAUAGG
rnacentral:lncRNA from 1 species